UUUGCUACAUAAUGGAAGGAAAAAUAGGGUGUGGACAAGAGGCAACACGGCCCAGAAAAUACAAGGUGAUAUCUACCCCAUUUGCUUAAUAUACCUUGAAAACGAAAUCGGUGAGGGGGUUCAUGCGAACUUUGCAAUUUGCCUUGGUUGUUUUUGCCUGUUGUCCAUACCCCUUUUUACAGCCCAUUCAAAAUUAGGACACAUUUUUUCGUCCCAUGAAUUAGCACUUAUCGGACCUAUCGAUAAGAUAUACCAAGAAAUGACUCCAGAAAUAUAGCAAUAAAAAAGACCUUAGCCCACUUAACUCCUUUAUAUUUAAACAGGCGACAACUGGAGCUAAGCCACGAAAAACAAAACCGUUGAUAUCAUAUUCCAUCAUUCCGAAAAUUCUAUCUGGCCCGAGAUGACAACGGUUAUGAGGUUGGGGUCUGGCAGCUCUACAUGGCGCAUUGCUUUUGAAUUUGAAUCUGUGUUUGCCAUUUGCAAUGAAAUUUGUCAAUUGUUGCAAUUUUUCGAAUUCCAUUGUCUUGCGUGAGGUGUUUCUUUAUUUAUAGAGUUGAUAAAGAUAUUCAAUGCCGGCGCAUUUGAAAUAAUCAACCGGUUUUGCUCUUUCACACUGCCUUAAAGGUUA
rnacentral:sRNA from 1 species